GUACCGCGGUCGCAGGGGUCGCAGCCCUGUAACCCCUGCGACCAGGUCCCCACCGCCAUGUGUUGCGGCCCGGCCCGCGCGGGGGAGGUGGGGGGGGGGCACGGAUCAAUUUUCGCACCGGGGCCCCAUGGGUCAUGUGUACGCCACUGAUUGUAGCAAAAGGGUACCAUAACUUAGCCUUCCCAUAGCCAUAGCCACAUAUAGAUCACUUAUGUUGCUAACUAAAAUGCGAUCAUAUGGCACUAAGAAAAAAAGAGAAGCCAUAAAAAGAAGAAAAAGAAAAUUAUAAAAAGAAAAAAGAAGAAAUAUAAAAAUAAAAAUAUGUGAUGAUGAUGGUAGGAUGCAAGAAAGAGUAGGAAACAAAGACCCAAGUCCCUAAUAAUAUAACUGUACGCUAUCAUUAUACAGCAAGCUUAUAUGCUUUGUAAAAAGGCGUAUGUAUUAUAAGUACUAUAAUGUACCAUAGGUCUAUAGGGUCACUGACAUGCGCAAACAGGCUUACUGACAGACAAAACUCUCUGACUCACACAGACUGCUGAGUCCACACACAGACUGCUGAGUCCACACACAGACACACACUGCUGAAUCCAUAGACACAGACUGCUGAGUCCAUACACACACACAUAGACUGCUAAGUCCAUACACACAGACUGCUGAGUCCAUACACACACACACAGACUGCUGAGUCCAUACACACAGACUGUUGAGUCCAUACACACACACACACAGACUGCUGAGUCCAUACACAAUCACACAGACUGCUGAGUCCAUACACACAAACAGAGACUGCUGAGUCCAUACACACACACACACAGACUGCUGAGUCCAUACACACAGACACACACAGACUGCUGAGUCCAUACACACUCACACAGACUGCUGAGUCCAUACACACAAACACAGACUGCUGAGUCCAUACACACACACACCAAGCCUACCUGUCACUGGAAGCUGUUGCUGGGGGUCAGACAGCCAUCUUCUGCAGCAGCAUGGUCUGCUGCUUUACGGAGGGGGCGGGGCUUAUGUCAGUGCUCCCUCCAGCCCCAGCAGCGUUCCAGCUGCUCUCUCCUGCAUUCCCUCGGGCUGUGACAGACUGUUACAGUCCGAGGGAAUAUAAUUGAAGCACAUGGCCAGCAAGUUGCCGGCAUUUGGUUGGGGCCCAAAGGGGGGCACAGCAUGAUGUGGGGGGGCAUGGCCCCCUCUGCCCCCCCCUAGUGACGCCUCUGAUCUAUAUGUGACUAUGGCUAUGGGAAGGCUAAGUUAUGGUACCCCUUUUGCUACAAUUUUAGGCACUUAUGAUACUAUCGUUCACUUUCUUUAUCACUUUGUACCUGUGUAUUGAUAUUCGGCUGUCACCAUAGCAACCCGCAAUGAGCGAGAUGCAGUGACGUCAUCACGUCACACUCGGCACUUCCGGGUAUGCGCACAUCGCUUGGGAGGACGCCGAUCAAUCAGCGAGUAUCACCUGUGGUGAGUUUUCUUUUCUUUCUUUGGGUUAUAUAUUGGUGCAUAUUAACCCCUUAAGGACGGAGCCAAAUGUACACGUUGUGAACGAAACAAAAUGUAAACAAAACCUGACAUUUGCGCUACAUGUCUGUCCAACUGCAAUUCACCUCUUUCAUAUUAAAUACACCCACCCUUAUUAUAUAUCAUUUUAUUCAGGGGAAACAGGGUUUUCAUUUAAUAUCAAAUAUUUAAGCUAUGAAACAUAAUUUAAUAUGAAAAAAAUGGGAGAAAAUAAUUUUUUUUUGAUUUUUUUAAAUUCUACAUGACAUUUUAACGGUCAAUGUCAUAAUACUGUUUGCUUUUACUGCAAUAAAAUACACAUAUUUGUAUUCAGAAAAGUCUCACGUGUAAAACAGUACCCCCUAUGUACAGGUUUUAUGGCGUUUUGGGAAGUUACAGGGUCAAAUAUAGCAUGUUACAU
rnacentral:lncRNA from 1 species